CGGGUGUAGUUCAGUGGUAGAACGUCAGCUUCCCAAGCUGAAUGUCGCCGGUUCGAUCCCGGUCACC
rnacentral:tRNA from 1 species